rnacentral:misc_RNA from 1 species
GAUGAAGAACGUAGCGAACUGCGAUAAGUAAUGUGAAUUGCAGAAUUCAGUGAAUCAUCGAGUCUUUGAACGCACAUUGCGCCCCCUGUCAUUCCGGGGGGCAUGCCUGUCCGAGCGUCAUUGCUGCCCUUCAAGCCCGGCUUGUGUGUUGGGUCGUCGUCCCCCCCGGGGGACGGGCCCGAAAGGCAGCGGCGGCACCGCGUCCGGUCCUCGAGCGUAUGGGGCUUUGUCACCCGCUCGAUUAGGGCCGGCCGGGCGCCAGCCGGCGUCUCCAACCUUCUAUUUUACCAGGUUGACCUCGGAUCAGGUAGGGAUACCCGCUGAACUUAAGCAUAUAAUAAGCGGAGGA